AAGUCGUAACAAGGUAUCCGUAGGUGAACCUGCGGAUGGAUCAUUAACACAUCCUAAACCGGUUCUUCCUUUGGCUCUCUUCUCUUUUGCGGAGAGUGAAGGGUUGGACUUCAAACCCAAACUAUGCGAACUCGUCAACGUGGGGAGGGGAUUCAUUCCUUCUUCUCGUUCGUUUUUUCCUUCUCUAUCUCACUUUUUUAAUUUUACUUUCAACACAUUUCCUUCAUUGGAAUGGCGAAUAACUAAAUGAGACUAAGAAAACAAGACAUGUUGAAACCUUUCCUAUCCUAUUGGGGGAGGGAUUGGCAUGUCAAAAAAAACAAAAAACAAAAAAUACAACUCUUAACAACGGAUAUCUUGGCUCUC
rnacentral:misc_RNA from 1 species